rnacentral:rRNA from 1 species
UACGGAAGGCAGCAGUGGGGAAUAUUGCACAAUGGGCGCAAGCCUGAUGCAGCCAUGCCGCGUGUAUGAAGAAGGCCUUCGGGUUGUAAAGUACCUUCAGUCGUGAGGAAGGUGUUAAGGUUAAUAACCUUAGCAAUUGACGUUAGCGACAGAAGAAGCACCGGCUAACUCCGUGCCAGCAGCCGCGGUAAUACGGAGGGUGCGAGCGUUAAUCGGAAUUACUGGGCGUAAAGGGCACGCAGGCGGUUAAUUAAGUUGGAUGUGAAAUCCCCGGGCUUAACCUGGGAAUGGCAUUCAAGACUGGUUAGCUAGAGUCUUGUAGAGGGGGUAGAAUUCCAUGUGUAGCGGUGAAAUGCGUAGAGAUGUGGAGGAAUACCGGUGGCGAAGGCGGCCCCUGGGACAAAGGACUGACGCUCAUGUGCGAAAGCGUGGGGAGCAAACAGGGAUUAGAUACC